GUCGAGAAUCUUUCACAAUGGGGGCAACCCUGAUGGAGCGACGCCGCGUGGAGGAUAAGGUCUUCGGAUUGUAAACUCCUGUCAUGCGUGAACAAGGUUGCUUGGUUAAUACCUGGGCAAAUUGAUGGUAACGCAAGAGGAAGAGACGGCUAACUCUGUGCCAGCAGCCGCGGUAAUACAGAGGUCUCAAGCGUUGUUCGGAAUCACUGGGCGUAAAGGGUGCGUAGGUGGCGUGGCAAGUCAGAUGUGAAAGCCCGGGGCUCAACCUCGGAACUGCAUCCGAUACUGCCAUGCUGGAGUACUGGAGAGGUGACUAGAAUUCUCGGUGUAGCAGUGAAAUGCGUAGAUAUCGAGAGGAAUACCAAAGGCGUAGGCAGGUCACUGGACAGUUACUGACACUGAGGCACGAAGGCCAGGGGAGCGAACGGGAUUAGAUACCCCAGUAGUCC
rnacentral:rRNA from 1 species